UACGAAGGGGGCUAGCGUUGCUCGGAAUCACUAGGCGUAAAGCGCAGGUAGGCGGUUCGGUAAGUCUUUUGUGAAAGCUCCCGGCUCAACUGGGAGAGGUCAAAGGAAACUACCGGGCUAGAGUGUGGUAGGGGAAACUGGAAUUCCUGGUGUAGCGGUGAAAUGCGUAGAUAUCAGGAGGAACACCUAUGGCGAAAGCAGGUUUCUGGGCCAUCACUGACGCUGAGCUGCGAAAGCUAGGGGAGCAAACAGG
rnacentral:rRNA from 1 species